UCAGAAGUGGUUCUAGGUAUGUAUUGUUGGAGAGUGAUACCAUGUCAGAAGUGGUUCUAGGUAUGUAUUGUUGGAGAGUGAUACCAUGUCAGAAGUGGUUCUAGGUAUGUAUUGUUGGAGAGAGUGAUACCAUGUCAGAAGUGGUUCUAGGUAUGUAUUGUUGGAGAGAGUGAUACUAUGUCAGAAGUGGUUCCAGGUAUGUAUUGUUGGAGAGAGUGAUACAUGUCAGAAGUGGUUCUAGGUAUGUAUUGUUGGAGAGAGCGAUACCAUGUCAGAAGUGGUUCUAGGUAUGUAUUGUUGGAGAGAGUGAUACAUGUCAGAAGUGGUUCUAGGUAUGUAUUGUUGGAGAGUGAUACCAUGUCAGAAGUGGUUCUAGGUAUGCAUUGUUGGAGAAUGAUACCAUGUCAGAAGUGGUUCUAGGUAUGUAUUGUUGGAGAGUGAUACCAUGUCAGAAGUGGUUCUAGGUAUGUAUUGUUGGAGAGUGAUACCAUG
rnacentral:lncRNA from 1 species